rnacentral:tRNA from 1 species
GGUAAAAUGGCUGAGGUCCACAGGCAAUAAAUUGUAAAUUUAUUUACGAAAUUCAUAUUUCUUUUACCA